AGAGUUUGAUCAUGGCUCAGGACGAACGCUGGCGGCGUGCCUAAUACAUGCAAGUCGAGCGGGACUCUUCGGAGUCCAGCGGCGGACGGGUGAGUAACACGUGGGCAACCUGCCUGUAAGACUGGGAUAACACCGGGAAACCGGUGCUAAUACCGGAUAAUCCUUCCCCUCACCAUGAGGGGGAGCGUUGAAAGACGGUU
rnacentral:rRNA from 1 species